GUAGAAAUAAACUAUUUAAGUUAUCUGGCUCAUGCUCAGAAAAUGGAGUUUUAUAUAAUUCCUUUUUACA
rnacentral:tRNA from 1 species